rnacentral:rRNA from 1 species
UAUGCUAAGAGAUGGGCUUGCGGCACAUUAGUUAGUUGGUAAGGUAACGGCUUACCAAGACUAUGAUGUGUAGCUGGACUGAGAGGUUGAACGGCCACAUUGGGAUUGAGAUACGGCCCAAACUCCUACGGGAGGCAGCAGUAAGGAAUUUUCGGCAAUGGAGGAAACUCUGACCGAGCAACGCCGCGUGAACGAUGAAAUAUUUAGGUAUGUAAAGUUCUUUUAUUAAAGAAGAAAAAAUGAUGGAAAAAUCAUUCUGACGGUAUUUAAUGAAUAAGCCCCGGCUAACUAUGUGCCAGCAGCUGCGGUAAUACAUGGGGGGCAAGCGUUAUCCGGAUUUAUUGGGCGUAAAGGGUGUGUAGGCGGUUUAAUAAGUCUAUGGUAUAAGUUCAACGCUUAACGUUGUGAUGCUAUGGAAACUGUUUGACUAGAGUUGGAUAGAGGCAAGUGGAAUUCCAUGUGUAGCGGUAAAAUGCGUAAAUAUAUGGAGGAACACCAGUAGCGAAGGCGGCUUGCUGGGUCUUAACUGACGCUGAGGCACGAAAGCGUGGGGAGCAAACAGGAUUAGAUACCCUGGUAGUCCACGCCGUAAACGAUGAGUACUAAGUGUUGGGUUAAACCAGUGCUGAAGUUAACACAUUAAGUACUCCGCCUGAGUAGUACGUACGCAAGUAUGAAACUUAAAGGAAUUGACGGGACUCCGCACAAGCGGUGGAUCAUGUUGUUUAAUUCGAAGAUACACGAAAAACCUUACCAGGUCUUGACAUACUCUGCAAAGCUAUAGAAAUAUAGUGGAGGUUAUCAGGGAUACAGGUGGUGCAUGGUUGUCGUCAGCUCGUGUCGUGAGAUGUUGGGUUAAGUCCCGCAACGAGCGCAACCCUUAUCGCUAGUUACCAUCAUUUAGUUGGGCACUUUAGUGAGACUGCCAAUGAUAAAUUGGAGGAAGGUGGGGAUUACGUCAAAUCAUCAUGCCCCUUAUGACCUGGGCUACAAACGUGAUACAAUGGCUGUUACAAAGAGUAGCUGAAGCGUGAGUUUUUAGCAAAUCUCAAAAAAACAGUCUCAGUUCGGAUUGAAGUCUGCAACUCGACUUCAUG